CUCUCCCCGCUCACCCACCUUAGGCCGCCUAGGUGUCGUAUUCACCUGUGCUCCACCGGGGAAUGCGAGAGGUAGGAGAGAGAGUGAGGCAAGGGCCGCCACCGGGUCCGCUCGUCGUUGUGUCCGUUCGAGGCAAACAAGGUGAUCUUGGGAGCCGGGGAACCUGCUGGGCGGAAGGAAGACCGGCGCCCGCAUCCUCCGCGCACAUCGGAAGUUCGUCGUGUGCGCCAACACCCUAUACCUAUGCGCUGGCGGGCGGGGAAAUCAUUGCCAGAACGUUGGGCGAACCUAGGCGUCGUUGUUUGGAUGGGUCGCGGACCAGAGCGCGCUCACCAGUGCUGGUUGCAUACGCCGCGCCGUGGCCAUGUGCAAGGACGGUGUCGUCAAUCCACUGCUCGCCGCGGAUUGUACGACUGACGCCCAAAACCACGUCAUGGAUGCUUCCCCAUGCUUCGCUAUCCUUCAUUAGAUGCGUAGCAAACCUCGUCUGUUCGAUUCGGGGCCGGAAUCGCCGGGUGGCCACAACUCGACCAUGGCGCCACCGUCGAGUUGUGGGCGUCUCUGUUGGUGCUGUCGGAGGAAGAAGGUGAAACCGUGGCCAUUCGAUCCAUUACUGGCGUUUAGGAUUAGAUUGGUGGGGUGUGUCAUCGUGUGCCGUUGAUGCUAGGAAGGUCGGCCACGAUUACAUACUGGCAUACCGAUUCGGUAUGUGAAAACCGGCCAUCCGAUAGGGAUCUGAAGGACGUAGUUCGAUCCUGUGUGAAUUAAAUCUCGACCACUGAUCGCUAAUCCAUUGGUCGAGAGCACACGCCACAUGGGUUAAAGAGUAGAUCUAAUCUGCACCACUGAUUUUGGAUCGGGUGGCUGGGGUAAGCGGAUACCCCUUCGGGCGCGCAAUUAUUCAAAAGAGCCCUUGGACUUCAUUUAAAUGAACCCACCGUCCACUGAUGGCGUAAGAUUAUUACGGUUAGGCCCUAAAAUUUAUGAAAACAACCCUGACCUCUCUAGAAAUCUUGUCCGCAGUCCAGAAUUAUUAGAAUUAUUCAUAAUUAAGUCAGAAAAUGAAUUUUAAUAUAAAAAUAAAUUCAGAAAUUAUAUAAUUCAAAGAUAAUUCAUCUUAGCUCCUUUUUAAUCAAUUCCAGUGGCAUUAAUUUUGUUUUAAUACUACUUACACCUAGUAACUCUGCAUAGACAUGAAACAUAGAUUAAAAAUUGUUUACUUAAUUUAUCUCGUGUCAAAUACUUAAUAACUUUGGAAAUCCAUAACUUCUUCGUUUUAAUUCCGAUCUGGUCCAUUCAAGUCGCGUUAGUUUCAUAUAAAUAUUUACUAUACAAUUACAACACUUAUUGUACCAUGUUUCAUUCUUUUAUAAUUAGAUCUUUAUUUAACUUAUGUUGGUUAGUCUUGUUAAUCUGCUUAUCAUUAUAAACUACUAGAAUAUGAUCUAUGGUCAAUCUUUAAUCUAGAUUAAAGUUGAAUUAAUUACUACUUUAGGUUAUCUUUUCACUGUAAUUAUAAAAUAAACAUAGAACCUGGUGUUAAUCAUUUAAUCACAUCAUAACUCGAUGACCACAUCUCUGAUCUUAGUAGUUCUCGAUCCCGCGAUCUCGUAGCGACGUGUAGACUAUUAUUAUGCAGUAUGUUCUUAUGUUUGAUGUGAUGAUAAUUUUGUCUAUAUCAUGUCUGUUUGUAUUGCUACAACUAGCACGAGGUUACAAGGAUUUGAAGAGUCACCCUGGUAACUGGAAUCUCAAGUGCCAGGCAAGUUGUGCCCUUGAUCACC
rnacentral:lncRNA from 1 species